rnacentral:rRNA from 1 species
UACGUAGGGGGCAAGCGUUGUCCGGAUUUAUUGGGCGUAAAGAGCGUGUAGGCGGCCAUUCAGGUCAGCUGUGAAACUCGAGGCUCAACCUCGAGACGUCGGUUGAAACCGUUUGGCUAGAGUCCGGAAGAGGAGAGUGGAAUUCCCGGUGUAGCGGUGAAAUGCGCAGACUAGCGGGAAGAACACCCGUGGCGAAGGCGGCUCUCUGGGACGG